GUUUGUUUUUUUCCCUUUGAGUUGAUUUGCAAGUAUUAGAUGAUUUGUUUUAGGAUUUAGAUGUAUGAUCUAGGUGUAGUUAGGAUUUAGGUAAGAUUUAAGUGUAUGACGUAAGGAUUUAGGUAGAAUUGAAUAUUAAGGUGCAUAUAUGUUUUUAGGAUUUAGGUUGAUUUAGGAUUUAUGUGAUUGAUAUGUCUUUGUUGUCCAUUUAUGCAGAUAGACAAUGUCAGGUAGAGAUAAAGAUAUUGUAUGGGAACAUGGUGAAAAAUUUUAUCCCGGAUGGCGGUGCAAGUAUUGUAAUACGCAGAAAGCAGGAGGUGGUGCGACUAGAUUGAAACAACAUUUGGCUCACCGCGGGGCGGAGGUGGUCCAUUGCAGGAAUGUGCCACCAGAUGUGCGGGAGUAUUUUCAGCGUGACAUUGAGAAGGCUAGGAAGGCAACUGCUGAACGGGCUCGAGAGAGGUUGAGACGGGAGAAGGCUGCAGCGGAGGGAAACUAUCCCGGUGAAGAAGAAGAUGAGGAGACUCAGCUGCAGCGUGCCUUGGACCAAUCGAGAGCGGAAGCAGUGUACCGACGGGGGGUGGAACAGAGAGGAGGUGUAUACGAGCAUGGAGGGGAUAGUGGUUCGACGAGGGGGAAUCCUUUGCAGAGGAUGUUGCGUAGGGCAACUUCGCAGAGGGAGAGUCCUGCGGUGGAGGAUUAUAACGUGGCAUCCGGUGGGAGAAGAGGAAUGACCCAACAAAGAAUUGAUACAGGCUCCUGGACGCAGAAGGGUAGGAAUGCAAAGGAAGCUAUUGGUAAAGCUUGGUCAAAGUUUUUCCAUUUUGCGGGAGUACCUGGAAGACAGGCUGACAAUCCUUACUUUGUCAGCGCGGUCAGGGAGACACAGAAGUGGGGUGAAGGUAUCGCAUCACCAACUGGACGGGAUAUUGAUGGCAAGUACCUUGAUCAGAACGAGCAAGACUUGAAGACGAGGUACGUAAAGUUUCGGAAAGACUGGCCCUUAUUUGGCGUCACGUUGAUGUGUGAUUCAUGGACUGGGCCGACGAGGAUGAGUGUCAUCAACUUUUUGAUAUACUGCAAUGGAGUCAUGUGGUUCCACAAGUCUAUUGAUGCGAGUGGAAGAACUCAAGAUAGCACAUAUUUGCUUAGGGAGAUUCGAAAGGUGGUGGACGAGAUUGGACCGGAGAAUGUCGUGCAUAUAGUCACCGAUAAUGGCUCGAAUUACAAGAAAGCUUGCAAGGCACUAGGAGAGGUGUAUGAACACAUUUUUUGGACACCUUGUCUAGCACACACCGUCAAUUUGAUGUUGAAGGAUAUAGCUCGAAGGCCCGAACAUUCUGGUACGAUCAAGCAAUGCAAGCGAAUUUCUAAUUGGUUACACAAUCAUGGUCAGUUGAAUACAAUGAUGAGGAACGCAAUCGGUGGUGAGUUGGUCAAGUGGAAUGCCACUCGAUUUGGAACCAAUUACAUGUUCUUAGAGAGCAUCUAUCGGAAACGUGAUCGUUUCAUGCAGUGGAUGGCAUCUACUGAGUUUUUACAAAGCAAAUGGGCAGAUACCGAAGAUGGUCGAUUUACUCAUUCCAGAUUUUCAAAUUUGGAGUGGUAGGACGGAUUGAAAUAUGUCAUCGACACAGUUCAAGCAAUAUACAAGUUCCUUCGCUUCGCUGAUCAGGACAAGCGGCCCAACAUGUGCGAAGUCGUGAUGUCGUACCAGAAUACGAGACAGGAGCUGCAAUCUUUCUUUGGAAAUAAUGUUUCCACUCGGGACGAGUAUCUUAAGGUUAUGGACGAUAGGAUGCGUGACCUUUUCAUAGGCACGUAUGUGGGUCCAGCUGCUGUCCUAAAUCCGAGGUAUUCAUACACGAUGGAACCAACUCAAGAAAUGUUCCGCGGACUCAAGGAUACAUUUGAGCGCAUGACGGAUGUCCAGAGCGCCGUGCAGGCAUUGCAGGAGCUUGAGGUGUUUCGGCAGAAGGUUGGCGAGUUUGGCAGUGAAAUGGCAAUGAGAAUGGCGAUGGAUCCAAAGACAUCCCCAUCGUCCUGGUGGAUGAUGUUCGGAUCAAGCACUCCAAAGCUGCAGUAUCUUGCCAUGCGACUUGUUUCACAAUGUUGUUCGUCCAGUGGAUGCGAGCGCAACUGGAAUACUUUUGCCUUGCUGCAUACAAAAGUUCGCAAUCGAUUGUCACACAAGAAACUUAACAAGCUGGUCUAUGUCAACUACAACCUUCGUCUGCGACUAGAGGAGGUCUCCGGCCCACCGAUACGUGAAGAAGGUGAUUUUAUCGACCAGCUGGCCCAUCUUUCAUUUUAUGAUGAGAAUAAUCCGGUGCGGGAAUUGAUGGAAUAUGGUCGAUCUAACCGUGCUCCAGUUCUGGACGAGGAUGAUGAUGACGGAGACGUCCCUCUCCCGUCUCAUAUUGUCAGGGAUCAAAUAAACCUCUCAGAUCUACGUGACACUACGGGGGAUGCUUGCAUCAGCGAUUGGGCAUGUAGACAUGUGGGUGACACUCACCUAGGGAAGAGGAAAUUCCAGAGGGGGCAUACGAAGGGUGACUCGAAGCGUCAAAAACAAAAAGGAAAAGCAACAGCAAAAUCAGUGAACAGCGACACGUCCACAGAUGAUGGCGAUGGUGAGCGUAGUCCACCGUAUCAAGAGACUGGGGAUAGCAGCUCCGCUGGUGAUGGUGACGGUAGUGACGGUACAGAUGCUGCUGCUGGUGGUGGUGGUGGUGGUGGUAGUGGUGGUGGUAUUCCCAUUCGUUUCACAGGGGAGACUCAGUUCACACAUGCUACACAGGACCCCGAUCAUGGAGCACCGGAAUCGCCGAGGAGAACGGUUGGACCGACGGACAACGAUACUCCACAGUACUCUUCUUCCUCCUAUAGCGAUUCCAGGCACUCUUUUCACUAUCCCAUACCUGACAUCAGCAUGGAGCCACAGACGAGAUGGGUGUACGAAUGGGAAGACCCCCAUUUUUACACUAUGUUAGUUCAGGAAUGGGAGACAACAUCGGCGUGGACAGGGCAAUCUUGGCAAGACUACAAGGCUGAACUGCUUAGAGUGCGAGGUUUGAAUGUGAUGUCCAUCGCCGAAUACCAAAUGGCGUCCAGAAUGGGGGUCUUCCCAUUCUUACUUUGAACUAUUAUUAAUGUGUAUCAGUGACUACUGUAUUUGUAGGCACGAUUAGGACUAUGGUAUUUGUAUGCACGCGCAUUAAUAUUGUAUAUCUCUGCAUAAUUAUAAAUUGUUACUUUGGUGUGGUAUUUUA